GAUGAAGAACGCAGCGAAAUGCGAUAAGUAAUGUGAAUUGCAGAAUUCAGUGAAUCAUCGAAUCUUUGAACGCACAUUGCGCCCCCUGGUAUUCCGGGGGGCAUGCCUGUUCGAGCGUCAUUUCACCACUCAAGCCUCGCUUGGUAUUGGGCAACGCGGUCCGCCGCGUGCCUCAAAUCGUCCGGCUGGGUCUUCUGUCCCCUAAGCGUUGUGGAAACUAUUCGCUAAAGGGUGUUCGGGAGGCUACGCCGUAAAACAACCCCAUUUCUAAGGUUGACCUCGGAUCAGGUAGGGAUACCCGCUGAACUUAAGCAUAUCAAAACGGAGGA
rnacentral:misc_RNA from 1 species